rnacentral:rRNA from 1 species
AUAAACGCUGGCGGCGCACAUAAGACAUGCAAGUCGAACGGAAGUCGUUAUACAAGGAGAGAAGAUUUAUCGGAUUGAAUUAUAUAACAAUGGCUUUAGUGGCGGACUGGUGAGUAACGCGUAAGAAAUCUACCUAUUAGAGGGGAACAACAAUGAGAAAUCAUUGCUAAUACCGCAUAUGCCAUAAACAUCGCAUGAUGAAAGUGGGAAAGGAGCAAUCCGCUGAUAGAUGAUCUUGCGUCUGAUUAGUUAGUUGGUGGGGUAAUGGCCUACCAAGACGACGAUCAGUAGCCGGACUGAGAGGUUGAACGGCCACAUUGGGACUGAGAUACGGCCCAGACUCCUACGGGAGGCAGCAGUCGGGAAUAUUGCGCAAUGGAGGAAACUCUGACGCAGUGACGCCGCGUGCAGGAAGAAGGUUUUCGGAUUGUAAACUGCUUUAGACAGGGAAGAGAAAGGACAGUACCUGUAGAAUAAGCUCCGGCUAACUACGUGCCAGCAGCCGCGGUAAUACGUAGGGAGCGAGCGUUAUCCGGAUUUAUUGGGUGUAAAGGGUGCGUAGACGGGAAUACAAGUUAGUUGUGAAAUACCUCGGCUUAACUGAGGAACUGCAACUAAAACUAUAUUUCUUGAGUGCAGGAGAGGUAAGUGGAAUUCCUAGUGUAGCGGUGAAAUGCGUAGAUAUUAGGAGGAACACCAGUGGCGAAGGCGACUUACUGGACUGAAACUGACGUUGAGGCACGAAAGUGUGGGGAGCAAACAGGAUUAGAUACCCUGGUAGUCCACACCGUAAACGAUGGAUACUAGGUGUAGGAGAUAUUAAGUCUUCUGUGCCGUCGCAAACGCAGUAAGUAUCCCACCUGGGGAGUACGGCCGCAAGGUUGAAACUCAAAGGAAUUGACGGGGGCCCGCACAAGCGGAGGAACAUGUGGUUUAAUUCGAUGAUACGCGAGGAACCUUACCCGGGCUUAAAUUGCAGUGGAAUGAUGUGGAAACAUGUCAGUGAGCAAUCACCGCUGUGAAGGUGCUGCAUGGUUGUCGUCAGCUCGUGUCGUGAGAUGUUGGGUUAAGUCCCGCAACGAGCGCAACCCCUGUUUCUAGUUGCCAGCAUGUAAAGAUGGGAACUCUAGAAAGACUGCCGUAGAUAAUACGGAGGAAGGUGGGGAUGACGUCAAAUCAUCAUGCCCUUUAUGUCCUGGGCUACACACGUACUACAAUGGCUGUAACAGAGGGAAGCGAACCAGUGAUGGUAAGCGAAACCCGAAAAGCAGUCACAGUUCGGAUUGAAGGCUGAAACUCGCCUUCAUGAAGCCGGAAUUGCUAGUAAUGGCAGGUCAGCAUACUGCCGUGAAUACGUUCCCGGGCCUUGUACACACCGCCCGUCACACCAUGAGAGUUGGGGAUACCCGAAGCCUGUGAGCCAACAGUUAAAUGGGGCAGCAGUCGAAGGUAGAAUCAAUGAUUGGGGUG